rnacentral:rRNA from 1 species
AUGGCGGCGGGGGCGUGGGCCGCGCUCAGGUCGGUCGUGAAGCCCUGCAUCGCCGCCUCCCUCAUAGGCCUCACCGUCUCCGACCGCUACUUCUCGGUCGCCGCCGUCCGAGGCGCCUCCAUGCACCCUACCUUCGAGGGCAGGACAGGUGAAUACGCGCUGGUGACGCCGGUGGACCACCAGAGGAAGGCGAUCAAGAGGGUGAUUGGGCUGCCCGGCGACUGGAUCAGCGUCCCGGAGACGAAGGAGAUCCGGAAGAUACCGGAGGGCCACUGCUGGGUCGAAGGGGACAAUGGCAGCGUCAGCCGGGACUCGAGAACCUACGGCCCUGUGCCGCUUGGUCUGGUGCAGGGGAGGGUGACGCAUGUGGUGUGGCCGCCCCGUAAGAUAGGCCGUGUCGACAAAAGGGUACCGGAAGGAAGGGUCAUGCCGCAGCGGAAUCUCUAG